GAGUAUAGUGGUCGAGUAUGAGUG
rnacentral:siRNA from 1 species